AUUUGGCAGGAAUUGACCCGGAUCAACCACGACGUUUUUUCAAUCUGAAGACACUCUGGACUCGAUGACCAUCACCUUUUUCGCCUGGGGCUCCUUUGAGGUCAAUGCAAUCAUUCACGAAGACGACAGAGUAUUCAACUUGGCGCCUUGCGACCAAAAAUGGCGGCGAUUGUCACGUUCUAGCCGAGGAAGACCCGGAUCUGUUCAAUGUGGAGGAGACCUCGACCAACUCCACAAUGAGGGACUUGGAGUUGAUGACCAAGACCACCAUAGAGCAACUCACCGAUUUGGAGGACCGACAAGAGCAAGGUCGAUUCUAACAAGAUGCUGAUGGGACGUAUGUGGCCACCAUCAAGAUGUAUUACACAAGGGAAUUUGCCCAAGUAGAACCGAACGUGAAUGCCUUCAUCUCCAACAUGCUCAGUCAAGCCAAUGCGUGCUUUCGUAACUCGAAAACCCAACUUCGUUUGCAAUUGCUAUGUAUCCAGCAACUGAAUACACAUCACUGAAAAUCGAGAUCCGGGGCGAAUUUUGACCCAAUUUGUCAACAUAAAAGGAACCCCAGCCAAUCUGCGAGGAACGGCCGAUUUCGCCCAUCUCCUUGUGCGAGAGACUGAUCCAAGUAAUUGCGGAAUUGCCUACGUCGGGAGCACACAAGUUCCGUUUGGGGUGUCCAAGAGAAUUUGUGCCGUUGGUGCUUACACCUUUAGCCACGAGAUUGGACAUAACUUGGGAUGCAGACACGACCGUGCCAAUUCACCCAAUGCUGAUCCCAAUGGCUAUGCAUUCGGUUACCUGAUCCCUGGGACGAGCUACCGCACCACAAUGGCGUAUUGGGAUCCUAACCAUCGAGCAAAAGCGAACCUUUACUCCAACCCAAGUGUGAGAAUCAAAAUUUCCUUGCUGGAAAUGCCCAGAAUGACUGUGCCCGCAAGAUCCGAGCAAAUGCCGUACAUUUGCC